UACAGAGGUGGCAAGCGUUGUUCGGAAUUACUGGGCGUAAAGGGCGCGUAGGCGGCCUUCUAAGUCAGAGGUGAAAUCCCCCGGCUUAACCUGGGAACUGCGUCUGAUACUGGGAGGCUUGAGUAUGGGAGAGGGAUGUAGAAUUCCAGGUGUAGCGGUGAAAUGCGUAGAUAUCUGGAGGAAUACCGGUGGCGAAGGCGGCAUCCUGGACCAUAACUGACGCUGAGGCGCGAAAGCUAGGGGAGCAAACGGG
rnacentral:rRNA from 1 species